UACAUAGGGUGCGAGCGUUGUCCGGAAUUACUGGGCGUAAAGAGCUCGUAGGUGGUUUGUCGCGUUGUCCGUGAAAACUCACAACUCAAUUGUGGGCGUGCGGGCGAUACGGGCAGACUGGAGUACUGCAGGGGAGACUGGAAUUCCUGGUGUAGCGGUGAAAUGCGCAGAUAUCAGGAGGAACACCGAUGGCGAAGGCAGCUCGCUGGGACGGUACUGACGCUGAGGCACGAAAGCGUGGGGAGCAAACAGG
rnacentral:rRNA from 1 species